rnacentral:rRNA from 1 species
UACAGAGGUCCCGAGCGUUGUUCGGAUUCACUGGGCGUAAAGGGUGCGUAGGUGGUGAGGUAAGUCGGAUGUGAAAUCUCCGGGCUCAACCCGGAAAUGGCAUUGGAAACUACCUUGCUGGAGGAUUUGAGGGGGGAUUGGAAUACUUGGUGUAGCAGUGAAAUGCGUAGAUAUCAAGUGGAGCACCAGUGGCGAAGGCGAAUCCCUGGAAAAUACCUGACACUGAGGCACGAAAGCUAGGGGAGCAAACAGG